rnacentral:rRNA from 1 species
UACGUAGGUGACCAGCGUUGUCCGGAUUUACUGGGCGUAAAGAGCGCGCAGGCGGUUGUUCAAGUCGAGUGUGAAAGCCCCCGGCUCAACUGGGGAGGGUCAUUCGAUACUGAUCGACUUGAAGGCAGGAGAGGGAAGUGGAAUUCCCGGUGUAGUGGUGAAAUGCGUAGAUAUCGGGAGGAACACCAGUGGCGAAGGCGACUACCUGGACCAGCACUGACACUGAGGCACGAAAGCGUGGGGAGCAAACAGG